GUGGGGAAUAUUGGACAAUGGGCGCAAGCCUGAUCCAGCCAUGCCGCGUGAGUGAUGAAGGCCUUAGGGUUGUAAAGCUCUUUCAGUGGGGACGAUAAUGACGGUACCCACAGAAGAAGCCCCGGCUAACUUCGUGCCAGCAGCCGCGGUAAUACGAAGGGGGCUAGCGUUGUUCGGAUUUACUGGGCGUAAAGCGCACGUAGGCGGAUCGUUAAGUCGGGGGUGAAAUCCUGGAGCUCAACUCCAGAACUGCCUUCGAUACUGGCGAUCUUGAGGCCGGAAGAGGUGAGUGGAACUCCUAGUGUAGAGGUGGAAUUCGUAGAUAUUAGGAAGAACACCAGUGGCGAAGGCGGCUCACUGGUCCGGUACUGACGCUGAGGUGCGAAAGCGUGGGGAGCAAACAGGAUUAGAAACCCGUGUAGUCC
rnacentral:rRNA from 1 species